rnacentral:rRNA from 1 species
AGUGAGCGCUGGCGGUAGGCCUAACACAUGCAAGUCGAACGGCAGCACAGUAAGAGCUUGCUCUUACGGGUGGCGAGUGGCGGACGGGUGAGGAAUACAUCGGAAUCUACUUUUUCGUGGGGGAUAACGUAGGGAAACUUACGCUAAUACCGCAUACGACCUACGGGUGAAAGCAGGGGAUCUUCGGACCUUGCGCGAUUGAAUGAGCCGAUGUCGGAUUAGCUAGUUGGCAGGGUAAAGGCCCACCAAGGCGACGAUCCGUAGCUGGUCUGAGAGGAUGAUCAGCCACACUGGAACUGAGACACGGUCCAGACUCCUACGGGAGGCAGCAGUGGGGAAUAUUGGACAAAGGGCGCAAGCCUGAUCCAGCCAUACCGCGUGGGUGAAGAAGGCCUUCGGGUUGUAAAGCCCUUUUGUUGGGAAAGAAAAGCAGCAGGUUAAUACCCCGCUGUUCUGACGGUACCCAAAGAAUAAGCACCGGCUAACUUCGUG